rnacentral:sRNA from 1 species
CCUCCGGGGGCAGGGAGGUUCGACUCGAGCGAAGCGAGAGAACGUUGCGCCAGCAACGGCCCGCAGGGCGAGCCACGAAGUGGCGAGUAAUCCUCUGGCACCGACCA